UCCCUCCAAACCCUAGCCUCGCUCCUGCCUCCCUGCCCUGCUGCCAUCCAAAUCCAACCCUACGCUGCCACCAUCUCCUUCGCCUAGCAAGCCGUCGCCGCCCCGCCAUCUCCUCGACCCAGCCGACCACCCCGGCGUGGCCACCAUCGACGGUAAGGAGGAGGAGCACGGUGGGAAGGAGGAGGACAACUAGGGGAGGAAGGACGGCAUCAACGUCUCGUCUCCGUCUAGGUUCGCAUCUCUCUCUCUCAUAGCUCCCCUUCUUAGAUCGACUCUCCCUGUCAGAUCCUCCUAUACCCAACACGAGAUGGAGAGAGAGAUGUUUGGAAGGAGAUGGGAGGAACAGUAGAAGGGAGGGAGAAGUUGUGCCAUAUCCAUCCCGUCCACUCAUCGUGCGCGGCGACCGGUUGGGUUCUGGAUAGGGUACUAGGAUUGGUGAUUUGAGUGGCUAAUUUCGAGAGUGGUGCCGACAGCGAGAGGCGUCUAUGAUAAUGGAGGCAGCGACAAGCACAAAUAUGCUCUAGCUUUGAGGGGUGUAGAAGCUAGAGAGAACUCAUUAUGUGAGGAUACAACCCUUGAAAGCUAUGGAUAUUCCUACAGAUACACUGCUGGUAUUGUUCCGCAAUCUGUUUACACGUCAGGGAAGUUGGUUUUCUGCCGUCCUGCUUCUCAUCUACAUUAAUUUUCCUCUAUGGAUGUGGUUAGUGUUUGUUGCUGGAUCCAAAAGUCACCGCCGCCUACUGAUAUGCAGACCUGUUUGUGUCCCUCAACAUAUAGAAGAAGUUCAUCCCAAGCUUCAAGACUCUAGGGUUAAUUCCAUAGAAGUAAAUUUCCACACGGGGUGAGGCGACGAGGUUGUGGCAACUUGGCGGCAUGACUGCCGAUCAGCCAAGAAAGACCUACUCUCUCUACACCUCCGCAUGGUUGCUUGCUGCUGCAAUCAACUUCUCUAUCAUUGUUGGAAUGGGUCAGAGAUAAAAACUGCAAGUCCCCUUGCGCAUAAUCUCUUUUCUUUUGAAGCACAUUUCCGAUUUGAGCUAAGUGACAGUUUGAUUGAUAUUGGCGUGAUGGCUAAGGUCGAGGCUGCCACGUACUAGACCACCGUCGCGCCCAACGUCGAGGAGUGUGUUAGCAACGUGGCCAGGGCCAUAGCGUCCAGUGUCGAGAACGUGGCCAAGGGGAUCUUGUGGUGCGGGGUGGUAACCAUGAACAGGCUCCACCGGGCGAACGAGGUCAGCCCGGAGAUGCUCGGGCAUAUCAAAAUGCUUCAUGUGCGUAUAUGUGACUAUUUGCUUAUGAUGAACUUGAAGACAGUCGUUAAGGUAUUCAUGGUGGAGGGAAAGGUUGAUGCUGGUCUUGGUCCUAUUUAUGCAACCUGUGUGGAAUUCAAGGAAGAAGGGCAUUUCGAACAAAGAAAUCAGCUGAUGUAGCAGAACAUACGUUCGUAAUUGAUACACCUAGGCUCAGCUUCUCCGAAUUGAUAUGAAGGCCUGGAGCGUGUUUGUUUUGUUUUCAACUCAAGGCGAUCAAGUAGGCCCAUAGAGACACAGUAAAAGAUUUAUCUGAAUUCCUGGAGCGUGUUUGUUUUGUUUUCAACUCGAGGUGAUCAGGUUUAGUGCCAGGCUCCUUGCUACUGUAGCUGAUGGGGAACACUGCUAUGGCUGCUGCAUGGUGGCGGGGUUUGGUCAUGCCGCUAGUGCUCCUUCAGAUUGGUGUGGAUGCCUGUGCUCGGAAUCUGCUGUAUCUACGGGUUCCCAGGUUCUUCCCUUCCUCUCCGGUGGCGGGGAAGGCAUACUUUUCUUAAUUGAUCUAGGUGUUGUCAAAUACUUCAAGUUUUAUGCCCCAUUGUAUAGAGUGCAUUUUGGAUGAUUAAUCUGGAGCAGAUAUAACAUGUAGAUGUUGUUUAACAUAAAUCAAAGAUUGAGAUGACAAAUAUUAAAAAUAUGAGAAGCUAUAAAAUUGGCGUGUUGACUGUGGUUUGUUUUGCAGGUCCCCUUGCUAAUUUUAUAGUGAGCUAGCAUUCUGGAUCUUUGG